AUUGAACGCUGGCGGCAUGCCUGACACAUGCAAGUCGAACGGCAGCGGGACGCGGAUGGGCAACCAUACGAGUGGACGGCGAGUGGCGAACGGGUGAGUAAAGCGCAGGAAUAUACCCUGAAGAGCGGGACAACUUGUGGAAACGCGAGCUAAUACUGCAUGAGCUCUGCAGCAAUGCGGAGGAAAGGCUGGGGACCCUGAGGAGGGCCUGGCGCUUUGGGAAUAGCCUGCGUCUGAUUAGCUUGUUGGUGGGGUAAAGGCCUACCAAGGCGAAGAUCGGUAGCUGGUCUGAGAGGAUGGACAGCCACACUGGGACUGAGAAACGGCCCAGACUCCUGCGGGAGGCAGCAGUGGGGAAUAUUGGACAAUGGGGGGAACCCUGAUCCAGCGAUGCCGCGUGUGUGAAGAAGGCCUGAGGGUUGUAAAGCACUUUCGGCGGGGAGGAGGGGUAUCAGGUUAAGAGCCGGAUAUCCGGACGUUACCUGCAGAAGAAGCACCGGCUAACUCCGUGCCAGCAGCCGCGGUAAUACGGAGGGUGCGAGCGUUAAUCGGAAUGACUGGGCGUAAAGGGUGCGCGGGUGGUUUGAUGUGUCAUAUGUGAAAGCCCCGGGCUCAACCUGGGAGGGAUGUAUGAGACUGUCGGACUGGAGUACGGGAGAGGGCAGUGGAAUUUCCGGUGUAGCGGUGAAAUGCGUAGAUAUCGGAAGGAACACCGGUGGCGAAGGCGGCUGCCUGGCCUGAUACUGACACUGA
rnacentral:rRNA from 1 species